CCGGCUCCUUCUCUGUGGCGGAGCCCUUGGGCGGGGAAGGACGCCGGGCGCAGGCUUCAGCGGGCGAGCCUCGGCCGGGGCUGGCUCAGCUGCACCCGUGCGCCGUGUCUCGCUGCCUCUCUCCCCCUGGCGGACGCUGCUCGCGCCUGUGCCGGAGCCGAGCCGCCGCGGCUGCUGCCCUCCCCGGGUGCGCGGCGGCAGCAGCAGCAGCAGAGCCGGGCUAGGGAGGGGGAGGCUGAGCGCCGGCGUAGAGCGGAGCCGGGAGCCGCCGCCGCCGCGGGAGCCGGGUAUGCGUCUGGCGCUCGCUCUUUCCCCCCUUCUGCUUGCCCCUGUUUUUGGGGCUGAGUUGGUGAGAGUGGUUUGUGUGCGCGCGUGUCUCUGCCCCCCCGGCUCGCGGUGGAGGAGGAAGUCAGUGUUACUGCCGCUUGGAGAGACUUUUUAGACCUUCAGUCCUUCCUUAGCUGAUGCACAGUUUAUAAACAGCAGGAGUGUGAUUUUCGUUGGGUGCUCCACAGAAUUGGAAACUGACUGCCUUGUGACCAUAAAGAAGGUAGAAUCAGAAGAGAAGGAAAAGAUCUGAGCCUCUGGCCCAAGGCAUGGAAACUGUGAUUCUCCUCUCGAAACAGUUCUGUAAGAUAGCUGGCCGGGGCCAGUGUAAGCGCAGAGGGAGAGCUGAAUAACCUGAGCAGUGCUAGGUGUGGCUACAUUAUUUAUUUAUUUUUCAGAAUACAUUUUCUUGUGUCUGCAUACAGUGGUGGAAAAGUACCAUAAUCACUCCCACAGACUCACAUCCAGGCAGCAACAUUAGUUUGAUUGAAGUGUGCUGCUAUGACAGGAAAACGAGUCUGUUACCCAUCUAGUUCAUUCAACUCAUACUUUGAAAUAUCCAUAGAAUAAAGAUCCCUAUACUGGGCAUGAGUGUUUAGUGUAUAUGUAGGCUGAAAACUGCUACUGAAGUCAAAGUAGAAGAAUUUUUCUGAGUUAGGAUUGGCCCUUCCAGAGUUUUGUUGCUUGUUACCCAUUCAAGACUGUGUUCAUUAUUUGCUGAUCAUUGACUUCCUGUUGCCAAAUUAACUUUUCUUUUCUUUCUUUUUUUUUUUUUUUGGUAAUGAAUAUGAGAAGCUUAGAGAAGUCUUCAUAUGGCAUUUUUUUAAUUUUAACAGAUUAAAAGCAAAUCUCAUUUCUUCAAUAGCUAUUUUGGUGUUGCAUAUCUCAAUUUGCAGUGGAAUAGAAUAAUACCAAAGAAAUAAGAAUCUGGGUUUAUCUUUUUUUUUUUUUUUUUUGAAAGUUUUGAACAAGUUAAAACAAAUCUAAACUGUAUUCACAGUAAAUGAUACUAAUUAAAAUGUUGAGGCUGCAUUUAAAAAGAAAUGAAAAGAACUAUUUAGAGCCUUAUCUUUUGCAAUUUGAAUGUUUUUUCAUGCUCAGCUUUACGUAUUCAUUGAAGUAUUAUGCCUUGUACUGUUUCCCUGGUAAAUGCUGUUGCUAUUUGGCAUUUUAUGGGGUGUGGUUUAAACAACAGAUGGAGUUGAUAAAUAUAUAAAAGAUAAUAUAGAAUAUAAAAUCCCCCAAAAUGCUGGUUUACAGAUUCAAUAGUAGCAUUCGCAGUUUCUACCUUGCCAUUUAUCUUCGCAUAAACCUGAUUCCUAAUGGAGUCAGCUAAAUUAAACAAGUUAAGGUUCUCAUAAUGCACAAGUGUCUCCGCUGCAAAUUAACCACUAUCUGUACAAAAGUCACAAUGUGUGUCUGAAACAAUAUUUGCAAUCAGGUUUCUCUUAAAAGUGUUAAAGGGCAGCGGAGUCGGGGGAAUGAAGGUCCAGAUGGUUAAAUGGGGAGAGAACAUGAGGACUGCAUGAGGUUAGUACCCAAGUUGAGUUAACCUCCUUUAAACAGCAACAAGGGGCCAGGUUCCUCACUGCACUGGCCAGUGCUUGGGUGAGAGCAUACACUGCAUCCCUGUAAAAGGUAUCCUCUUUGUGCCAGUGUUGAGUCUGCUGUGGAAACCGAGCAGGAGCAAGGCUAGAGUAAGGCAACCAGGUCCCUAGGCACAGCACAACCUGGGGACGGGGGGCACAGCCCACACCCUCAGUUGGCAAAGCAGUGGCAGGGGAACUCCCGGCAGAAGCAGUGGCAUGGGGUCACCUCUCUUCUGCCUGGCCAGAAAUCCAGGGUUGACAGCACAGUGGGAGUCUGGUACUUGCCCUAGAAGUCAGAGUGUAUCUGCUUUGCUUUGGGAAAGCUCACAAAAACAGGGUUUGGGGAUUGUUUUUGGUUCUUCCUGGUUUCAGCUAGCUCAGAAGCACUACAGUACCCUUUCCCUUGGUAUUCCUAUUGCUCUCAAUUACUUUUAGUCAGGAGAAAUAACGUAUAUGUAUGGCAAAACAGUUAUAUAUGAGGUGCAGGAACAGACCCGUAAUAUCCCCUCUGCUGACCUGAUCCUUUCUGGGGUGGGCAAUGAGCAAUUAUAUGACAAUUAUACACUAAUUUCAUAACUACAGAAGAAACCUUGUAACGCAUAACCUAUGGCACAGUAAAUGUAUACUUCUAAAAGACCUAUAUUUUUAAACAGUUAUACCUUUAUCUAGUAUUUGCUUUAACUGGUUUCACCAGCUGGUCAUGAUUAGGAGUAUGAAACAGCUUUCAUAUGAGGAGAGAUUAAUAAGACUGGGACUUUUCAGCUUGAAAAAGGGAUGACAAAGGGGCAUAUGAUAUAGGUCUAUAAAAUCGUGACUGGUGUGGAGAAAGUAAAU